rnacentral:lncRNA from 1 species
UCUUGCACAAGCUUCACCAAAAGAAAUUUCUUUCAAUUAUUUGUGCUAUAGAAAGAAAGAGGAUUAGUCACCAAAUAACAAGGUUUUCUUAGAAAAAAAUUAUCAUUUUGUGUAUUGUCUGAUAGAAUUAGGCACAUAAUUCCAAAGAAAAAUAAAAGAGCUUUCUUGAUACAAUAAAUAUAUAAACAGCUUAGACAUUUUGGAAUAUGCAUAAUAUAUUUUAUUUAGUUGAUUCAAUCUUUUACAAAUAUUUGUACAAUCAAUAUUUUUGGAUUGACAUGUAUCAAUAA